AACAUAAUUGUAGUUUGGUCUGAUCUGUGGCUUUUGCGUUUGGUAUCAUUAAUGAGUAAAACGUUGCGUUUUAUUCUUACAUCCGAUGAGGGCAUCGGUGUUGUCCUCUUUACAUAACUCAACCUCGCUUUCACGAUCUGCAAAAGUGGUGUUUCUUUUCUCAUUUCUUUACUUCCCAUGUCGUUAUCUCUUCACCUCCCUGUGGUUCAAUGUAUUUCUUUUAAUUCAGGAUUAAUUGUUAAUCACAUUAAACCCAGUUAGGAUUAAUUGUUAUUCCUUUGUUUCCAUAUUGAUUUAUUGUAUCUUUCUCUCUGGAAUGCUUAAUGCUUUCAUGAUGAGUUUUACUCUCUGAGAUUUUUGGUUAACGUUAGGGAUAUUUUUUCUUUAUUAAUUUGACUAAGAUAAUUCAUCCUAAUAGGAUUGUCUCCGCAUAUUUACUUUGAAUGUUAUUUCUGUUAAACUAGAUGGACUUUCGAUAUAAAACCAAUAGGUGAUAAGUGAAAUGACUUAUCUAUCUUAUAUAUUACUAAGAAUUCUUUUUAAUAUCCGAUGUGGGACACUUUGUGUAUAAUACGUCUCUCGAGAUGAUGGCUCUUUGAGCGUCAAUCUCGGAAUGCUCGGACAAGGAUCGAUGGGUCAACUUUGGACCAUAUCGAGGUGGAUCAGGUUGGACUGCGUGGAUCGGGCUUUGAUACCAUGUUAAGCUAGAUGGACUUCCAACCUAAAAUCAAUUGGUGAUAAGUGGAGUGAACCAUCUAUUUUAUAUAUUACCAAUGAUCCUUUUCAACAUCAGAUGUGGGACACUUUGUGUCUGAUAAUUUCACUUCAGAAAGUUUUCUUAGGGGUUUGUGCUUUUGCUGAUUCGAUGGUCUUUGGUUUAUUUUAUUUUUUUCAUUUUUACAUGGCAGAACCAACAUGAUGAAACGGAAGUAAAGUUCUUGAGGGAAGCAAAGUUCUUGAGGAGAAGGCAGCUCUAGAAGCUAAGUAUCAAAAGUUAUAGCAGUCUUUCUAUACCAAGCGAUAUGAGAUUGUGACCGGUGUGGUUGGAGUUGAAGAUUAACCUAAAGAAGUAAAAAGAGCCUGGAGAAGAUAAAGUGUUAAGUCCCUUAAAUCUUUUUUUUUUUAAGGCCGAAGCUCUAAAUCUUCAACUUCAAUACUGGUUCCAGACAGAAGGUUGGACAAUGGAUGGGCAUUACAGGUCACUGAUAUACAUGAGGCCUCUCGCAAUAAGGGGAAUGCAAUGGGCAUUGUCGCUGCAAAAGGCAAUCCUUGAUACUCCUAAGAUCAACAUGAUGGCCAGAGUUCACAUGUCCCCUAUGAGCCCCGCAUAUUCUCUCACAACUCCAAAGUUGUAACACACAAAGUAUUUUAUCUCCUUCCUUAUGCUUAAUGGAGUUCCUGAGAGGCCAGAACUCACUCCCUAUGAGUCCCAUUGGUAUAUAGGCGGCAUAAGCUAAAUAAGGACUUGAUAUGGAAUCUCUUUCCAUAGUAGAGAGUAGAGAGUGAAGUUAGGGAGGAAUUAGCUAGCACAAACACCGUGACAACGAGGUUAAUAUUUUUUCGCCCACUAUCUCAGCUCCGACUUCCUGUUUUCUUUUCUAUUAAACUUUCUUCUGAGUUCUUUUUCUCACUUCAUGGCAAUGAGGCUUACACACUUUGGUAUGUCCGCUUUUGCUUCAUUCACUGUGAAUGUUUAUUUAUUGCUCUAAAAGAACUUACCUAUUUAGGUUUCUUUCUUUCAUGUUUAGCGUUUCAAAAUUUUCUGCAAGUUGCAAUGAAGCCUGAGCUGGAAGCAGUGUUAUUUCGAUUUCAUUAAAGAAGAAGCUGGGCGGCUAUUUAGACCAUUGCAAACAAUCCUCUGGUACUACCUCGAGGACCAUUAGCUACACUUUGUACAACGCAGAAAUCUAGAAUUACACAUUUUUUUGGUAAACUUAUUUAUAUACAUUUGUUUGAGUUUAACUCAACAUAGGUAAUUUACAUACAUAU